rnacentral:rRNA from 1 species
UACGUAGGGGGCGAGCGUUGUCCGGAUUUACUGGGCGUAAAGCGCGCGUAGGCGGCUGGGUAAGUCGAUUGUGAAAGCCCCGGGCUCAACCUGGGAAUUGCAGUCGAGACUGCUCGGCUAGAGUGUGGGAGAGGGUUGUGGAAUUCCCGGUGUAGCGGUGAAAUGCGUAGAGAUCCGGAAGAACACCGGUGGCGAAGGCGGCCUGCUGGGCAGUGGCUGACGCUGAGGCGCGACAGCGUGGGGAGCAAACAGG